GUUGCCCGUCCGGGCCCUUGCGGCAGGUCGAUGUCACACGGCGCUGGAGACUCCCCUGGUGGCCAUCCAUGGAUGCGGCGUCUCUAUUGUGCAGGCGGGUCUACUCUCCCUCUUGAGGCGAGUGUGGAUGUAAUGGAUAUUGAUUGUGGUUGUUCGGACAAAAAUAUUGCAUGGAAACAUUAUAUACUGAUGGAGAGGAGUAGUUGUGGAGCGGGUCGUGGGAGAGACGGUUGGUUAGCAUGGGCUGGACGGGAAGGUGAUGCCUGCGAUGGCGACCAAGCCGGCGGGUAGGGCAGGGGCGACUGUGGCCAUUGUGGUGUUUUCAAGGGAGAGCGAGGCAACUGCAAUCACGCAACUGAAGAAGUCGAAACCCGGGGCGAAGUUGGCCAACAUGAAAGCUGACAAACCUAAAUGCCGGUGAUAGGUUGUUCGCUGCUGUCGCGCCGUCUUUGAACUUGGUGGAGAGGCAGAACGGCAGAAGGAGAACGGUGGCGCCGUGAAGACCUUGACGACUGCUGCCAUGACCACAACCAUGAUGAUUGUGUUGGUAAUAAAGAUACUAAUUAUAUACAAAUCCCCCAGCUUUGAAAACAUUAGAUUAUCCAACUUAUUAUUCAAAUUCUUGAUUCAAGAUAAAUGGAAAUUUCCUAUAUACAAUGAGCUUAUUAUUUUUUUUAGAAAAGGAGGAUGACACCCGGCCUCUCCAUCUGGGAGAUGCAUACGGUCACUUUAUUGAUUAUUCUCGAGGACCUUACAAAGUAUUACAACAAUAUGCCUGAAUCCAUCAUCUUGGCAUCUGCCGCUACUUCUAUCCAUACAAUGAGCUUAUUAUUGAAGGUUGCAUCGAUUAUGCUAUUAUUACUGAAAUAAGAGGCUUAUGAAAUUUUCAA